rnacentral:rRNA from 1 species
UUAAGCGACUAAGCGUACACGGUGGAUGCCCUGGCAGUCAGAGGCGAUGAAGGACGUGCUAAUCUGCGAUAAGCGUCGGUAAGGUGAUAUGAACCGUUAUAACCGGCGAUUUCCGAAUGGGGAAACCCAGUGUCUUUCGACACACUAUCAUUAACUGAAUCCAUAGGUUAAUGAGGCGAACCGGGGGAACUGAAACAUCUAAGUACCCCGAGGAAAAGAAAUCAACCGAGAUUCCCCCAGUAGCGGCGAGCGAACGGGGAGCAGCCCAGAGCCUGAAUCAGUGUGUGUUAGUGGAAGCGUCUGGAAAGGCGCGCGAUACAGGGUGACAGCCCCGUACACAAAAAUGCACAUGCUGUGAGCUCGAUGAGUAGGGCGGGACACGUGGUAUCCUGUCUGAAUAUGGGGGGACCAUCCUCCAAGGCUAAAUACUCCUGACUGACCGAUAGUGAACCAGUACCGUGAGGGAAAGGCGAAAAGAACCCCGGCGAGGGGAGUGAAAAAGAACCUGAAACCGUGUACGUACAAGCAGUGGGAGCACGCUUAGGCGUGUGACUGCGUACCUUUUGUAUAAUGGGUCAGCGACUUAUAUUCUGUAGCAAGGUUAACCGAAUAGGGGAGCCGAAGGGAAACCGAGUCUUAACUGGGCGUUAAGUUGCAGGGUAUAGACCCGAAACCCGGUGAUCUAGCCAUGGGCAGGUUGAAGGUUGGGUAACACUAACUGGAGGACCGAACCGACUAAUGUUGAAAAAUUAGCGGAUGACUUGUGGCUGGGGGUGAAAGGCCAAUCAAACCGGGAGAUAGCUGGUUCUCCCCGAAAGCUAUUUAGGUAGCGCCUCGUGAAUUCAUCUCCGGGGGUAGAGCACUGUUUCGGCAAGGGGGUCAUCCCGACUUACCAACCCGAUGCAAACUGCGAAUACCGGAGAAUGUUAUCACGGGAGACACACGGCGGGUGCUAACGUCCGUCGUGAAGAGGGAAACAACCCAGACCGCCAGCUAAGGUCCCAAAGUCAUGGUUAAGUGGGAAACGAUGUGGGAAGGCCCAGACAGCCAGGAUGUUGGCUUAGAAGCAGCCAUCAUUUAAAGAAAGCGUAAUAGCUCACUGGUCGAGUCGGCCUGCGCGGAAGAUGUAACGGGGCUAAACCAUGCACCGAAGCUGCGGCAGCGACACUAUGUGUUGUUGGGUAGGGGAGCGUUCUGUAAGCCUGUGAAGGUGUGCUGUGAGGCAUGCUGGAGGUAUCAGAAGUGCGAAUGCUGACAUAAGUAACGAUAAAGCGGGUGAAAAGCCCGCUCGCCGGAAGACCAAGGGUUCCUGUCCAACGUUAAUCGGGGCAGGGUGAGUCGACCCCUAAGGCGAGGCCGAAAGGCGUAGUCGAUGGGAAACAGGUUAAUAUUCCUGUACUUGGUGUUACUGCGAAGGGGGGACGGAGAAGGCUAUGUUGGCCGGGCGACGGUUGUCCCGGUUUAAGCGUGUAGGCUGGUUUUCCAGGCAAAUCCGGAAAAUCAAGGCUGAGGCGUGAUGACGAGGCACUACGGUGCUGAAGCAACAAAUGCCCUGCUUCCAGGAAAAGCCUCUAAGCAUCAGGUAACAUCAAAUCGUACCCCAAACCGACACAGGUGGUCAGGUAGAGAAUACCAAGGCGCUUGAGAGAACUCGGGUGAAGGAACUAGGCAAAAUGGUGCCGUAACUUCGGGAGAAGGCACGCUGAUAUGUAGGUGAAGUCCCUUGCGGAUGGAGCUGAAAUCAGUCGAAGAUACCAGCUGGCUGCAACUGUUUAUUAAAAACACAGCACUGUGCAAACACGAAAGUGGACGUAUACGGUGUGACGCCUGCCCGGUGCCGGAAGGUUAAUUGAUGGGGUCAGCGCAAGCGAAGCUCUUGAUCGAAGCCCCGGUAAACGGCGGCCGUAACUAUAACGGUCCUAAGGUAGCGAAAUUCCUUGUCGGGUAAGUUCCGACCUGCACGAAUGGCGUAAUGAUGGCCAGGCUGUCUCCACCCGAGACUCAGUGAAAUUGAACUCGCUGUGAAGAUGCAGUGUACCCGCGGCAAGACGGAAAGACCCCGUGAACCUUUACUAUAGCUUGACACUGAACAUUGAGCCUUGAUGUGUAGGAUAGGUGGGAGGCUUUGAAGUGUGGACGCCAGUCUGCAUGGAGCCGACCUUGAAAUACCACCCUUUAAUGUUUGAUGUUCUAACGUGGACCCGUGAUCCGGGUUGCGGACAGUGUCUGGUGGGUAGUUUGACUGGGGCGGUCUCCUCCUAAAGAGUAACGGAGGAGCACGAAGGUUGGCUAAUCCUGGUCGGACAUCAGGAGGUUAGUGCAAUGGCAUAAGCCAGCUUGACUGCGAGCGUGACGGCGCGAGCAGGUGCGAAAGCAGGUCAUAGUGAUCCGGUGGUUCUGAAUGGAAGGGCCAUCGCUCAACGGAUAAAAGGUACUCCGGGGAUAACAGGCUGAUACCGCCCAAGAGUUCAUAUCGACGGCGGUGUUUGGCACCUCGAUGUCGGCUCAUCACAUCCUGGGGCUGAAGUAGGUCCCAAGGGUAUGGCUGUUCGCCAUUUAAAGUGGUACGCGAGCUGGGUUUAGAACGUCGUGAGACAGUUCGGUCCCUAUCUGCCGUGGGCGCUGGAGAACUGAGGGGGGCUGCUCCUAGUACGAGAGGACCGGAGUGGACGCAUCACUGGUGUUCGGGUUGUCAUGCCAAUGGCACUGCCCGGUAGCUAAAUGCGGAAGAGAUAAGUGCUGAAAGCAUCUAAGCACGAAACUUGCCCCGAGAUGAGUUCUCCCUGACCCUUUAAGGGUCCUGAAGGAACGUUGAAGACGACGACGUUGAUAGGCCGGGUGUGUAAGCGCAGCGAUGCGUUGAGCUAACCGGUACUAAUGAACCGUGAGGCUUAACCUU